UGGGGAAUUUUGGACAAUGGGCGAAAGCCUGAUCCAGCCAUGCCGCGUGCAGGAUGAAGGCCUUCGGGUUGUAAACUGCUUUUGUACGGAACGAAAAGACUCUGGUUAAUACCUGGGGUCCAUGACGGUACCGUAAGAAUAAGCACCGGCUAACUACGUGCCAGCAGCCGCGGUAAUACGUAGGGUGCAAGCGUUAAUCGGAAUUACUGGGCGUAAAGCGUGCGCAGGCGGUUAUAUAAGACAGAUGUGAAAUCCCCGGGCUCAACCUGGGAACUGCAUUUGUGACUGUAUAGCUAGAGUACGGCAGAGGGGGGAUGGAAUUCCGCGUGUAGCAGUGAAAUGCGUAGAUAUGCGGAGGAACACCGAUGGCGAAGGCAAUCCCUGGGCCUGUACUGACGCUCAUGCACGAAAAGCGUGGGGAGCAAACAGGAUUAGAUACCCUGGUAGUCCACGCCCUAAACGAUGUCAACUGGUUGUUGGGUCUUCACUGACUCAGUAACGAAGCUAACGCGUGAAAGUUGACCGCCUGGGGAGUACGGCCGCAAGGUUGAAACUCAAAUGAAUUGACGGGGUCAUAGCUGUUUCCU
rnacentral:rRNA from 1 species